rnacentral:rRNA from 1 species
AUUGAACGCUGGCGGCAGGCCUAACACAUGCAAGUCGAGCGGAUGAAGGGAGCUUGCUCCUGGAUUCAGCGGCGGACGGGUGAGUAAUGCCUAGGAAUCUGCCUGGUAGUGGGGGAUAACGUCCGGAAACGGGCGCUAAUACCGCAUACGUCCUGAGGGAGAAAGUGGGGGAUCUUCGGACCUCACGCUAUCAGAUGAGCCUAGGUCGGAUUAGCUAGUUGGUGGGGUAAAGGCCUACCAAGGCGACGAUCCGUAACUGGUCUGAGAGGAUGAGCAGUCACACUGGAACUGAGACACGGUCCAGACUCCUACGGGAGGCAGCAGUGGGGAAUAUUGGACCAUGGGCGAAAGCCUGAUCCAGCCAUGCCGCGUGUGUGAAGAAGGUCUUCGGAUUGUAAAGCACUUUAAGUUGGGAGGAAGGGCAGUAAGUUAAUACCUUGCUGUUUUGACGUUACCAACAGAAUAAGCACCGGCUAACUUCGUG